UUGAUACUCACCCCGUCCCGAAUUACUUGUCGCAGAAAUGGAUAAAAACGGAUGUAUCUAGAACUAAAAUACGUCUAGAUACAUCCAUUUCUGGGACAAGUAAUUUCAGACAGGAGUAUUAG
rfam:Triticum urartu cultivar G1812 contig360760, whole genome shotgun sequence.